GAUAAACGCUGGCGGCGUGCAUAACACAUGCAAGUCGAACGAAGUGGCGAACGGGUGAGUAACACGUGAGUAACCUGCCUUACACAAGGGGAUAGCCUUUGGAAACGAAGAAUAAUACCCUAUAGUGUAAGAUGGACUUGCGUGUGAUUAGCUAGUUGGUGAGAUAAAAGCCAACCAAGGCGACGAUCAGUAGCCGGCUUGAGAGGGUGUACGGCCACAUGGGGACUGAGAAACGGCCCAAACUCCUACGGGAGGCAGCAGUGGGGAAUUUUGCACAAUGGGGGAAACCCUGAUGCAGCGACGCCGCGUGAGUGAAGAAGUUUUUCGGAUCGUAAACCUCUGUUGUUAGAGAAACGGUAUCUAACCAGAAAGCCACGGCUAACUACGUGCCAGCAGCCGCGGUAAUAC
rnacentral:rRNA from 1 species